GAGAAACGGCUACCACAUCCACGGAAGGCAGCAGGCGCGUAAAUUACCCAAUACCGGCUCGGUGAGGUAGUGACAAAAAAUAACAAUAUGGGCCCUAGUGGUUUCAUAAUUGCAAUGAGAAUAUUUUAAAUACUUUAUCAAGUAUCAAUUGGAGGGCAAGUCUGGUGCCAGCAGCCGCGGUAAUUCCAGCUCCAAAAGCGUAUAUUAAAGUUGUUGCAGUUAAAAAGCUCGUAGUUGAAAUUUAGGAUUCUAGAUUCUUUUCUAUCUUAUGAUUGAAAUAAAUUUAGUCCUUUUGUGUCGUGUAUAUUAAUUAGUUACUUUAUUGUAUCUGGUUAAUAACCGGCUAGUUUACUUUGAAAAAAUUAGAGUGCUUAAAGCAGGCUUAUGCUUGUAUAUUGUUGCAUGGAAUAAUAAAAUAGGACUUCGGUUUUAUUUUGUUGGUUUUCGAAACUGAAGUAAUGAUUAAAAGAGACUGCCGGGGGCAUGUGUAUGCUGGUGCUAGAGGUGAAAUUCUUAGAUCAUCAGCAGACAAACUACU
rnacentral:rRNA from 1 species